rnacentral:rRNA from 1 species
UAGGGAAUCUUCCACAAUGGACGCAAGUCUGUUGGAGCAACGCCGCGUGAGUGAAGAAGGUUUUCGGAUCGUAAAGCUCUGUUGUUGGUGAAGAAGGAUAGAGGCAGUAACUGGUCUUUAUUUGACGGUAAUCAACCAGAAAGUCACGGCUAACUACGUGCCAGCAGCCGCGGUAAUACGUAGGUGGCAAGCGUUGUCCGGAUUUAUUGGGCGUAAAGCGAGCGCAGGCGGAAUGAUAAGUCUGAUGUGAAAGCCCACGGCUCAACCGUGGAACUGCAUCGGAAACUGUCAUUCUUGAGUGCAGAAGAGGAGAGUGGAAUUCGAUGUGUAGCGGUGGAAUGCGUAGAUAUAUGGAAGAACACCAGUGGCGAAGGCGGCUCUCUGGUCUGCAACUGACGCUGAGGCUCGAAAGCAUGGGUAGCGAACAGG